AUUGAACGCUGGCGGCAUGCUUUACACAUGCAAGUCGAACGGCAGCGCGGGCUUCGGCCUGGCGGCGAGUGGCGAACGGGUGAGUAAUGCAUCGGAACGUGCCCAGUAGUGGGGGAUAGCCCAGCGAAAGCCGGAUUAAUACCGCAUACGACCUGAGGGUGAAAGCGGGGGACCGAAAGGCCUCGCGCUUUUGUAGCGGCCGAUGUCGGAUUAGCUAGUUGGUGGGGUAAAGGCUUACCAAGGCGCCGAUCCGUAGCUGGUCUGAGAGGACGACCAGCCACAAUGGGACUGGAACACGGCCCAGACUCCUACGGGAAGGAGCAGAGGAGAAUUUUGGAAAAUGGGGGCAACCCUGAUCCAGCCAAGCCGCGGGCGGGAAGGAAGCGGUCGGGGUGGAAAACGGUUUUGGUCGGGAAGAAAGACGGUGGGGUAAUACCCCGGGGGGAUGGCGGUAACGGAAGAAAAAGCACCGGCUAACUACGUG
rnacentral:rRNA from 1 species